rnacentral:rRNA from 1 species
ACGCGAUAAGUAGACCGCCUGGGGAGUACGGUCGCAAGACUAAAACUCAAAUGUAUUGACGGGGGCCCGCACAAGCGGUGGAGCAUGUGGUUUAAUUCGAUGCAACGCGAAGAACCUUACCUGGUCUUGACAUAGUAAGAACUUUCCAGAGAUGGAUUGGUGCCUUCGGGAACUUACAUACAGGUGCUGCAUGGCUGUCGUCAGCUCGUGUCGUGAGAUGUUGGGUUAAGUCCCGCAACGAGCGCAACCCUUUUCCUUAUUUGCCAGCGGGUUAAGCCGGGAACUUUAAGGAUACUGCCAGUGACAAACUGGAGGAAGGCGGGGACGACGUCAAGUCAUCAUGGCCCUUACGACCAGGGCUACACACGUGCUACAAUGGUCGGUACAAAGGGUUGCUACCUAGCGAUAGGAUGCUAAUCUCAAAAAGCCGAUCGUA